rnacentral:misc_RNA from 1 species
AGAAGAAGAAGAAGAAGAGAGAGAUCGAGAGGGAGGGGGAAGAAAGAGAAUUUAGAGAGGGAUAUAAAUUGUGUUCAUUAAUCUUGAUUGGAUCCAAUUACAGCCCAAAGAAUUCUAUUUAUCUAAUAAUUCACGAGACUCUUCUAACAUACUAUGAUCCUUGGUCAUAAUAGAACUCUUGGUCACAACAGCAUAUUUACUGUGGGAAGUACUGCAUCACAACUACCAAUAACAUCACCCAGCCUCAUUAUGAAUUUUUGUUCUACUAACUAAACAUCACCACUGUGCUGCAAACUGGAAAGAAUAUGGAACAUUGUGAUCCAAUUUGCUAGAUGCAUCUUGUCCUGCAUCCUUGAUGCGCACAAUUAACUGGUCAUGAUAUAGGAGUUAAGGUUUAAGCUUGGUGACAACUUUUGAACACUUUGUACGCCUUCAGAAUGUCUUAGCAUAGUUCUGAAAAUGCUACAUGCAGUCAACGAUGUUUGCUUUUAGCUUUAGAUAUGAACAAUUUCUCCAUUGAUGCAAUUAUUAAAAUUGUCUUCGUAUCAUG